rnacentral:snRNA from 1 species
AUCCCCAGCCUCUGAUACAUAUUAAAAGUGGAAUAACAAUGAGAAAUUAGCAUGGGCUCUGCACAAAGGACAACUCAUUAGUUUCUGAAGGCUUCUGGAAUUAU